CAGGCCUCAGAAUGCCUACAUGCACCUCAGAGUUUGUAGCACCAGCUAGCAACCUCGCCCACUCCUCUGACAGUGUUCUGCCCUGCCAGUGUGCCAGAUUGAGCCCUAUCUCCAAACACAAGCCCCUUAACUCAAAAAAUAGUAUCCAGUGUGGGACAGCCUCAUGGUGAAUGCUACCAAGUCAACUUUGUUAAAUACCCCCACUGCUGCUGCUUCCAAAAACCUGCUUUAUUAACAUGCUAGCAUGAUAUGCCCACAUUUUAACACAGAGGGCCUACAGACAGAUCCCUUAGGAGAUGAUGCUUAGAGACACGACCUCCCACUCAUGGAGAGAGGACUCAGUCAGGAGCAAGUGAGUUCCAGAACACGCCCCACAGCAGCUGCCCUGCAGGCGAAACAACAGCCUCUGCCACUCACGAGCCACGCCAAGGGUUCUGCGCUCUAGGAAGGACUGGCACACUUACUCUAGCAAUAUAUGGAGGUGCACUACGACCAGAAGAGUUUUCAAAGAUUAACAUCAUACUGAGGAGGCUGAGGACCAGCCUGGGACACACAGACUUCCAGCUGUGCCCAUCAUCAGAUGUACAUCAUCAGACGCCCAGUCUCACAGCUGCUAUACAGGCCAGCUGCCAAGGGAAACUGACAUCAUGUGACAAACUGCAGCCAACAAAUAAAGCCUGUGGAUUUGUUGCUUUUUAAUAAAUUCUGAUAUUGUAGAAACAGA